AUGGAGGGAGUAGAGAGAAAGUUGCAUUCCCUGAAGCUCUCUGAAGCAGAGAAGAAGGGGGUCAGGCUAGGAAAAAGGAGUGUGAGCCAAUUAGGAGAAGAGAGAAUGCAAGCUGUAGGCAAGGUGAUGUCCGACAGGCCAGCGAGGGUGGAUGCGCUGGUCAAUACCUUGGGCAGGAUCUGGGCUCCAUUCAAGGGGAUAGAAUGCAAGGAUCUAGAGAAACUCAACCCAGCUAAGACAUUGGAUGAAUAUGAAUUCAGAUAUAUACCAAUUUGGGUAAGAGUUUAUGAUAUUCCUAUGGGGUGGAUGAGUAGAGAAUCUGGUGAAGAAAUAGGAAAAGAAAUAGGUGAAGUACUGGAUGUAGAUGUUGAUGAUUGUGGCAUGGCUAUGGGGGAAUACAUGAGAAUUAAAGUACGACUGGACAUAAGGAAGCCACUGAUGAGGGGUAUUACUAUUUUUGAGGAUGACGAGGGAGAAGACGAGGAACAUGAGGAGAAGGAGAAAGAUAAUAUCAUAGAAGAUGUGGAUGAAGAAAAUGAAAAGAAGGAGAAGGGGCGCGAGGUUAUUUUCAAGUACGAAUACUUGCCCGACUUCUGCUACAUCUGUGGUAUA
rnacentral:rRNA from 1 species